ensembl:lncRNA MIR99AHG mir-99a-let-7c cluster host gene
GGGCAUCCGUGUCUAGCCGAGGGGAGGGGGUGGCGUGUGAGUGCGUGGAGGGUAAAAGCCAGUCAGUCAGUGAGAAGCAAAGAAGAGCCAGAUUCCACUUCUGUGGCCAGGACUUUUACAUUAUGGCUGGUCCGAUUGUUUUACCCUGCGUUCUAUGCUACUAAACCUUGGAUCAUUCCUAAAGUGUCUGAUGAUUUGUGAGCCUCAAGUGACUACUCUGUGGAAUCAUCUGUCCUUGCCUUUGAAUUAGCUUUCCCUAGGCCAUGAGUCAACAUUAGUAGUUUAUACAUCCAAAUUGUGUUGACUUCAUUCUCAGGUAAGCUUUCUGAAUGUGGUGGCAAAGAUGGCCACAUACAACUUCAGACUUGCAUCAUGCGUCAUCCUACAGCCUGUGAAUCCAGGAAAAAUAAACAAACAAAAAGAUUCUCUUUAUGCCAACAUCAAUUUCAGUUGUCAGAAAAUCUUGGAUUGGCUCUGUUUUGGUGACAUGCCCAUAUGUGGAUCCACUUAUUUGAUAAACAAGGACUACUCUGAUUGGAUGGCCAAUGUAGGGAGGCAAAAGACGACUAGCCUAUCAAGGUCAUGAGGAAUGAGUGAGGGUCUGUCAGUCGUAGAAAGUGAAAGGAAUUUAAAGCAGGCGGGAAUGUAAUGGAACACACAACCACCACUACACAUUUUUUAAUUACUGAGUAUAAUGAUGAUUGAUAGGCUUUUGAAAAUGUUUGUCUUGGUAAACUCACUGGUACCUAUCAAUGUGUAGGCAACAUUAGUUUAUUUUGCCAAAUGUCCUCUUACAGCAUGGAAACUAUAAAACAUCUGCUGCAGCAAAUCUCAACCUUGAGUGUCAUGAGAUUAAUUACUUUUAUUAACAC